AACGAACGCUGGCGGCAUGCCUAACACAUGCAAGUCGAACGAGAUCUUCGGGUCUAGUGGCGCACGGGUGCGUAACGCGUGGGAAUCUGCCCUUUGGUUCGGAAUAACAGUUGGAAACGACUGCUAAUGCCGGAUGAUGACGAUAGUCCAAAGAUUUAUCGCCAGAGGAUGAGCCCGCGUAGGAUUAGCUAGUUGGUGUGGUAAAGGCGCACCAAGGCGACGAUCCUUAGCUGGUCUGAGAGGAUGAUCAGCCACACUGGGACUGAGACACGGCCCAGACUCCUACGGGAGGCAGCAGUGGGGAAUAUUGGACAAUGGGCGAAAGCCUGAUCCAGCAAUGCCGCGUGAGUGAUGAAGGCCUUAGGGUUGUAAAGCUCUUUUACCCGGGAUGAUAAUGACAGUACCGGGAGAAUAAGCUCCGGCUAACUCCGUGCCAGCAGCCGCGGUAA
rnacentral:rRNA from 1 species